ACUAACUGUAAGUCGCUCUGGAUAAGAGCGUCUGCUAAAUGACUAAAAUGUAAAAUGUAAUGGUCGCUGUGCCAACAAGAACCCUGAUCCAUGCGCCCACACAUUCGUUAAAUCCAAAAAUCAGAUUGGGGUGAGGCUCAAUUAUGAUUUAGACCUGAUAAGAGUCAGUUCCAUAUUUAAUUGUGAUUCAUCUGCACACCUGAUCAGUAUUAUGUCAAUUUCAAGAAUGUGUUUUCAAUCAGCAAAAUUGAAAACAUAAAAGUCUUCACAUCUUGCACUGGUGGCUAUAGUGUUGAUAGGUGUUUGUGGAUGUUGUCCCUCUGUCUGUCUGCUCCAGGUGCCAGAUCACGGCUGGGUCAUUGCUGACUGUGACUCCAGUAAGUGUCACUUCUGCAACAAGAAGAUCAAGACCCUGGCAGGGAAGCAUUGCUUGUGGUGCUAACAGAUGGAGAAGGAUGAAGAGGGAAGGAGGAAUUCCAUGGAGGACACUAGCCUAGAGGACAUCACCCCAGACGGGCACAUUCUGCAGAUUGCUCCAAUUCCAGACACCCACCCUCUCCUGGUGUUUGUGAACCCAAAGAGCGAAGGGAAGCAAGGGGAGGGAGUGCUGAGGAAGUUCCAGUAGUUACUGAACCCCCGCCAGGUCUACAAUCUCUCCAAUGGAGGACCUGGACCCGGGUAACUUCAAGUGCAGUUUGACCAUCAGGGUGGGAGGGAAGUGGACUGUACUAUUACAUAUGUUAUGUCAUUGUUAGGACAGUAUUAUGUAUGUCUUAUGUUGAAGGGUUAAUGUAAAGUGCUACCUUUUUUUAAUCAAUUUCCAAUUUGGGGAUCGGUGUGACAUAGUUAAAUUAUAUCUUAAUUCUUAUUAUCUGUUAUUUCCACUAUGAAUGUGUAUCAUUGUGUGCUCUUGCUUCGGCUUGCUCUUUGGAGUUUGGGCCGGGUGACUGUAAAAACACUUAGUGACAACUGCUGAUGUAAAAGGGGCUUUAUAAA